AAGUCGGAACACAGGUGCUGCAUGGCUGUCGUCAGCUCGUGUCGUGAGAUGUUGGGUUAAGUCCCGCAACGAGCGCAACCCUUAUCAUUAGUUGCUACGCAAGGGCACUCUAAUGAGACUGCCGGUGACAAACCGGAGGAAGGUGGGGAUGACGUCAAGUCCUCAUGGCCCUUAUGGGUAGGGCUUCACACGUCAUACAAUGGUCGGUACAGAGGGUUGCCAAGCCGCGAGGUGGAGCAAGUCGCAGAAAAUCGCUCUCAGUUCGGAUUGGAGUCUGAAACCCGACUCCAUGAAGGUGGAAUCGCUAGUAAUCGCGCAUCAGCAUGGCGCGGUGAAUACGUUCCCGGGCCUU
rnacentral:rRNA from 1 species